GGUUAAGCGACUAAGCGUACACGGUGGAUGCCCUGGCAGUCAGAGGCGAUGAAGGGCGUGCUAAUCUGCGAUAAGCGCCGGUAAGGUGAUAUGAACCGUUAUAACCGGCGAUUUCCGAAUGGGGAAACCCAGUGUGAUUCGUCACACUAUCAUUACGUGAAUACAUAGCGUAAUGAAGCGAACCGGGGGAACUGAAACAUCUAAGUACCCCGAGGAAAAGAAAUCAACCGAGAUUCCCCCAGUAGCGGCGAGCGAACGGGGAGGAGCCCAGAGCCUGAAUCAGCAUGUGUGUUAGUGGAAGCGUCUGGAAAGGCGCGCGAUACAGGGUGACAGCCCCGUACACAAAAGCGCAUGUGCUGUGAGCUCGAUGAGUAGGGCGGGACACGUGGUAUCCUGUCUGAAUAUGGGGGGACCAUCCUCCAAGGCUAAAUACUCCUGACUGACCGAUAGUGAACCAGUACCGUGAGGGAAAGGCGAAAAGAACCCCGGCGAGGGGAGUGAAAAAGAACCUGAAACCGUGUACGUACAAGCAGUGGGAG
rnacentral:rRNA from 1 species